rnacentral:rRNA from 1 species
AUUGAACGCUGGCGGCAUGCCUUACACAUGCAAGUCGAACGGUAACAGGUCUUCGGAUGCUGACGAGUGGCGAACGGGUGAGUAAUACAUCGGAACGUGCCCGAGAGUGGGGGAUAACGAGGCGAAAGCUUUGCUAAUACCGCAUACGAUCCCAGGAUGAAAGCAGGGGACCGCAAGGCCUUGCGCUCACGGAGCGGCCGAUGGCAGAUUAGGUAGUUGGUGGGAUAAAAGCUUACCAAGCCGACGAUCUGUAGCUGGUCUGAGAGGACGACCAGCCACACUGGGACUGAGACACGGCCCAGACUCCUACGGGAGGCAGCAGUGGGGAAUUUUGGACAAUGGGGGCAACCCUGAUCCAGCAAUGCCGCGUGCAGGAAGAAGGCCUUCGGGUUGUAAACUGCUUUUGUACGGAACGAAACGGUCUGGGUUAAUACCCUGGGCUAAUGACGGUACCGUAAGAAUAAGCACCAGCUAACUACGUGCCAGCCGCCGCAGUAAAAC